UGGGGAAUAUUGGACAAUGGGCGCAAGCCUGAUCCAGCCAUGCCGCGUGAGUGACGAAGGCCUUAGGGUUGUAAAGCUCUUUCGGCGGGGAAGAUAAUGACGGUACCCGCAGAAGAAGCCCCGGCUAACUCUGUGCCAGCAGCCGCGGUAAUACAGAGGGGGCAAGCGUUGUUCGGAAUCACUGGGCGUAAAGCGCACGUAGGUGGAUAGUUAAGUUCGGGGUGAAAUCCCAGGGCUCAACCCUGGAACUGCCUCGGAUACUGGCUAUCUCGAGUCCGGAAGAGGUGAGUGGAAUUCCUAGUGUAGAGGUGAAAUUCGUAGAUAUUAGGAAGAACACCGGUGGCGAAGGCGGCCCACUGGAUCGGUACUGACGCUGAGGUGCGAAAGCGUGGGGAGCAAACAGGAUUAGAUACCCCGGUAGUCCCUGAGCGGGCUGGCAAGGCGCAU
rnacentral:rRNA from 1 species